ACGGACGAGGUUGAGCGGCUCAUUGAAGCGGUGAGAGAGCGCGAGUGUCUUUAUGACGUCGGUUCUCUAGAGUACAGGGAUUCCAAGCGAAAAAAGAAUGCCUGGGAGUCCGUGCGCAUUGCCUGCGGCAUGAAGUCCGGUGAGGACGCACAAAAAGCGUGGAAGCGUGUACGCGACAGGGCAACCACCAACGUAAAGGCACCACCUGUGGGCGACACAGCACAGUGUCUAUUAAUGGAAAUGGUGGAAUC